UACGUAGGGUGCGAGCGUUAAUCGGAAUUACUGGGCGUAAAGCGUGCGCAGGCGGUUCGUUGUGUCGGCGGUGAAAGCCCCGGGCUCAACCUGGGAAUGGCCGUUGAAACUGGCGAACUGGAGUGUGGCAGAGGGGGGUGGAAUUCCACGUGUAGCAGUGAAAUGCGUAGAGAUGUGGAGGAACACCGAUGGCGAAGGCAGCCCCCUGGGCCAAAACUGACGCUCAGGCACGAAAGCGUGGGGAGCAUACAGG
rnacentral:rRNA from 1 species